UGGCUCAGAACGAACGCUGGCGGCAGGCCUAACACAUGCAAGUCGAACGCUCCAGCAAUGGAGAGUGGCAGACGGGUGAGUAACGCGUGGGAACCUACCCUUUGGUUCGGAAUAGCCCAGGGAAACUUGGGGUAAUACCGGAUAAGCCCUUACGGGGAAAGAUUUAUCGCCGAAAGAUCGGCCCGCGUCUGAUUAGCUAGUUGGUGAGGUAAUGGCUCACCAAGGCGACGGUAAAUAGCUGGUCUGAGAGGAUGAUCAGCCACAUUGGGACUGUUUCUCGGCCCAAACGACUACGGGAGGCAG
rnacentral:rRNA from 2 species